rnacentral:piRNA from 1 species
AGACCAAAUGGGGACGGGGAUAG